CCUACGUGUGGCAGCAGUAGGGAAUUUUCGGCAAUGGGGGGAACCCUGACCGAGCAACGCCGCGUGAACGAAGAAGUUAUUCGUAAUGUAAAGUUCUUUUAACAGGGAAGAAAGAGAAAUUUGCCGGUACCUGAAGAAUAAGCUACGGCUAACUACGUGCCAGCAGCCGCGGUAAUCCGUAGGGAGCGAGCGGUAUCCGGAAUUAUUGGGCGUAAAGGGGGCGUAGAUGGCAUAGUAAGUCUAAUGGAAAAAUGCUGGGCUAAACCCAGUAGGGCAAAAGAUACUGCAAAGCUAGAGUAUGACAGAGGCAAGUGGAACUACAGGUGUAGCGGGCAAAUGCGUAGAUAUAUGUAAGAACACCAGUGGCGAAGGCGGCUUGCUGGGUCGAUACUGACGUUGAGGCACGAAAGCGUGGGGAGCAAACAGGAUUAGAUACCCGGGUAGUC
rnacentral:rRNA from 1 species